GUAGGUAUAGUUUAACUAAAACACUAGAUUGUGAAUCUAAUAAUAGAAGCAUAAAAACUUCCUAUCUACC
rnacentral:tRNA from 1 species